rnacentral:rRNA from 1 species
AACGAACGCUGGCGGCAUGCCUAACACAUGCAAGUCGAACGAGACCUUCGGGUCUAGUUGCGCACGGGUGCGUAACGCGUGGGAACCUUCCCUUAUGUUCGGGAUAACUCCCCGAAGGGGGUGCUAAUACCGGAUAAUUUCUUCGGACCAAAGAUUUAUCGCCGUUGGAUGGGCCCGCGUUGGAUUAGCUAGUUGGUAGGGUAAAAGCCUACCAAGGCGACGAUCCAUAGCUGGUCUGAGAGGAUGAUCAGCCACACUGGGACUGAGACACGGCCCAGACUCCUACGGGAGGCAGCAGUGGGGAAUAUUGGACAAUGGGCGAAAGCCUGAUCCAGCAAUGCCGCGUGAGUGAUGAAGGCCUUAGGGUUGUAAAGCUAUUUUAACCGGGAUGAUAAUGACAGUACCGGGAGAAUAAGCUACGGCUAACUCCGUG